rnacentral:rRNA from 1 species
GGGUCAACAGGUCGGUCGUGCCUACGGUAUGCACUGGCCUUGCUGAUUCCUCCCUCUUGAUGAGCCGUAAUGCCAUUAAUUUGGUGUUGCGGGGAAUCAGGACUGUUACUUUGAAAAAAUUAGAGUGUUUAAAGCAGGCAAUUUUCGCUUGAAUACAUUAGCAUGGAAUAAUAGAAUAGG